rnacentral:misc_RNA from 1 species
AAUUUCUCAAACCACAUUUGAAUUCUUUCGGUGUGGAUUGGAUGUGGGGGGUUUUGCGGGCUUCUCAAGAAGAAGUCGGCUCCCCUGAAAUGUAUUAGUGGUAUCUGAGCUACUGCUAUUAGGUUUGAUAAAUUAUCUAUGCCUUUUGGUAUGCUGCAUAAACAGAUUGCACCGCUUCUAAAAAUGUGAGUGGUCAUUGAACCACACAAUUUUGAUGA